rnacentral:rRNA from 1 species
AUUGAACGCUGGCGGCAUGCCUUACACAUGCAAGUCGAACGGUAACAGCACUUCGGUGGCUGACGAGUGGCGAACGGGUGAGUAAUACAUCGGAACGUGCCCGAGAGUGGGGGAUAACGCAGCGAAAGCUGUGCUAAUACCGCAUACGAUCUACGGAUGAAAGCAGGGGACCGCAAGGCCUUGCGCUCAUGGAGCGGCCGAUGGCAGAUUAGGUAGUUGGUGGGAUAAAAGCUUACCAAGCCGACGAUCUGUAGCUGGUCUGAGAGGACGACCAGCCACACUGGGACUGAGACACGGCCCAGACUCCUACGGGAGGCAGCAGUGGGGAAUUUUGGACAAUGGGCGAAAGCCUGAUCCAGCCAUGCCGCGUGCAGGAUGAAGGCCUUCGGGUUGUAAACUGCUUUUGUACGGAACGAAACAGUUCUCUCUAAUACAGAGAGCUAAUGACGGUACCGUAAGAAUAAGCACCGGCUAACUACGU